rnacentral:rRNA from 1 species
AUUGAACGCUGGCGGCAGGCCUAACACAUGCAAGUCGAGCGCGAAAGGCCUUCGGGCUGAGUAGAGCGGCGGACGGGUGAGUAACGCGUAGGAAUCUACCUGGUAGUGGGGGACAACUUGGGGAAACUCAAGCUAAUACCGCAUACGCCCCAAGGGGGAAAGCGGGGGACCUUCGGGCCUCGCGCUAUCAGAGGAGCCUGCGUAGGAUUAGCUAGUUGGUAGGGUAAAGGCCUACCAAGGCGACGAUCCUUAGCUGGUCUGAGAGGAUGAUCAGCCACACUGGGACUGAGACACGGCCCAGACUCCUACGGGAGGCAGCAGUGGGGAAUAUUGCGCAAUGGGGGCAACCCUGACGCAGCCAUGCCGCGUGUGUGAAGAAGGCCUUCGGGUUGUAAAGCACUUUCAAUGGGGAAGAAAAGCGUAGCGUUAAUAGCGUUGCGCCGUGACGUUACCCAUAGAAGAAGCACCGGCUAACUCCGUGCCAGCAGCCGCGGUAAAAC